rnacentral:rRNA from 1 species
UACGUAGGUGGCAAGCGUUGUCCGGAUUUACUGGGCGUAAAGAGCGCGCAGGCGGUCGUUCAAGUCGCGUGUGAAAGCCCCCGGCUCAACUGGGGAGGGUCACGCGAUACUGAUCGACUCGAAGGCAGGAGAGGGUAGUGGAAUUCCCGGUGUAGAGGUGAAAUUCGUAGAUAUUCGGAGGAACACCAGUGGCGAAGGCGGCUCACUGGCUCGAUACUGACGCUGAGGUGCGAAAGCGUGGGGAGCAAACAGG